AGCUGCAAGCUCCUGUCUCAGGCUUGCAUCCCACCCAGAGCUGGCGUGGAGGCGGAGCCGAGGCAGGAAGAUGAUGGCAGUCAGGGUCGAGGACACGCGGUCAUCUCGAGUGGGCACCUGGGAACCUCAGCAGUAGCCCGAGCAUCUCCUCUGCUGGCCCACGAGCCACACCCUGGAUAAGGCUUGGCUGGGUCAGAAUGUCCAGGGCUCUGAUGGGAGCUGAGGAUGGAGGAGAGGCACGGAGUGAGGCUGGACUGCAGAGUGCCCAGUCCUGGACAGGAAAAGCAGAAGAGCAAACGAGAGAAUGUUACCUCUGCCCUGGACCCCAAAGGGGCUGCUCUCAACAAGCUGACGCUUGCAGCCC